UUUCUCCCAGGCGCUGGACCCCUCAUUGCUGCAGUGCUGGAUGCUGUUCAGCCCUCCGUACCCCUCAGGUCCUGUCGGGAGCUGCCGCUGAUUCCCUGAGGCGCCAGCCUGGGGCCAGAGGCAUAAUCCUCUCAAGUUCCAUCUCUGUAGUCACAAACCUCAAAAUAUCAUCUUUGAAAUGACCCCUUUGACAUGGUGGUAUGUCAGAAGAGCUAACAACAAAAUACUCAUGGUUGAAGCUAAAUUUAAAGCAACAAAUUUAAACCACACAGGAAGGGUAUAUUACACUGGUGAGUGGGAUCUUUGGGGUCUAUCAUUACUGGUUUCUUUGCGGGACGGCCAGACUGUUUUCCAUUUCGCCUCCUUCAGUGACAUCUGAGGAUUCUCACCUCUGUGCAUUCGUCUCCACCCCACAGACAGGGCUGCGCGUCCACUUCCAGAUUUUUCCAUGUCUUCCCACCACAUCUCGCAUCUCGUGGUUUUCAGAGCAUAUGUCUUGCAUUUCUUUUGUUCAGUUGACUUGGAGCUCUUGCUUUUAUUGCUCUAUAAAAGGAAUUGUCUGUUUCGGGUUCAAUUAUUCAUUGCAAGGGCAUCAAAAUACAUUUCUGCCCAUUGAUCACCGCGGCCUCGUUGAAUCCAUACGCAUGCCCUUACUUAGAUAGUGGGUGCUAAGGGAAUGUCAGCUGCAAAUGGUUUGCUUCUUCCUCUUAUUCUCCAAGCCCUAAUUGCCUGAACUUAGAACUUCCAGCACCAGGUUACAGAGAAGUGAAAACAGACAUUUUUGCC